CAGCCGCCGCGGUAAUACGUAGGUCCCGAGCGUUGUCCGGAUUUAUUGGGCGUAAAGGGAGCGCAGGCGGUUUAGUAAGUCUGAAGUUAAAGGCAUUGGCUCAACCAAUGUAUGCUUUGGAAACUGUUAGACUUGAGUGCAGAAGGGGAGAGUGGAAUUCCAUGUGUAGCGGUGAAAUGCGUAGAUAUAUGGAGGAACACCGGUGGCGAAAGCGGCUCUCUGGUCUGUCACUGACGCUGAGGCUCGAAAGCGUGGGUAGCGAACAGGAUUAGAUACCCCAGUAGUCCCUGUCUCUUAUACA
rnacentral:rRNA from 1 species